rnacentral:rRNA from 1 species
AUUGAACGCUGGCGGCAUGCUUUACACAUGCAAGUCGAACGGUAACAGGCCGCAAGGUGCUGACGAGUGGCGAACGGGUGAGUAAUGCAUCGGAACGUGCCCAGUCGUGGGGGAUAACGCAGCGAAAGCUGUGCUAAUACCGCAUACGAUCUGUGGAUGAAAGCGGGGGACCGAAAGGCCUCGCGCGAUUGGAGCGGCCGAUGUCAGAUUAGGUAGUUGGUGGGGUAAAGGCUCCCCAAGCCAACGAUCUGUAGCUGGUCUGAGAGGACGACCAGCCACACUGGGGCUGAGACACGGCCCAGACUCCUACGGGAGGCAGCAGUGGGGAAUUUUGGACAAUGGGCGCAAGCCUGAUCCAGCAAUGCCGCGUGCAGGAAGAAGGCCUUCGGGUUGUAAACUGCUUUUGUACGGAGCGAAAAGGCUCUCUCUAAUACAGGGGGCUCAUGACGGUACCGUAAGAAUAAGCACCGGCUAACUACGUGCCAGCAGCCGCCGUAAGAC